UACGUAGGGUGCAAGCGUUAAUCGGAAUUACUGGGCGUAAAGCGUGCGCAGGCGGUUGUGCAAGUCUGAUGUGAAAUCCCCGGGCUUAACCUGGGAACUGCAUUGGAGACUGCACGGCUAGAGUGCGUCAGAGGGGGGUGGAAUUCCGCGUGUAGCAGUGAAAUGCGUAGAGAUGCGGAGGAACACCGAUGGCGAAGGCAGCCCCCUGGGAUGACACUGACGCUCAUGCACGAAAGCGUGGGGAGCAAACAGGAUUAGAUACCCUGGUAGUCCACGCCCUAAACGAUGUCAACUAGCUGUUGGGGGUUUGAAUCCUUGGUAGCGUAGCUAACGCGUGAAGUUGACCGCCUGGGGAGUACGGCCGCAAGGUUAAA
rnacentral:rRNA from 1 species